AUUGAACGCUGGCGGCAGGCCUAACACAUGCAAGUCGAGCGGAUGACGGGAGCUUGCUCCUUGAUUCAGCGACGGACGGGUGAGUAAUGCCUAGGAAUCUGCCUGGUAGUGGGGGGCAACGUUUCGAAAGGAACGCUAAUACCGCAUACGUCCUACGGGAGAAAGCAGGGGACCUUCGGGCCUUGCGCUAUCAGAUGAGCCUAGGUCGGAUUAGCUAGUUGGUGGGGUAAUGGCUCACCAAGGCGACGAUCCGUAACUGGUCUGAGAGGAUGAUCAGUCACACUGGAACUGAGACACGGUCCAGACUCCUACGGGAGGCAGCAGUGGGGAAUAUUGGACAAUGGGCGAAAGCCUGAUCCAGCCAUGCCGCGUGUGUGAAGAAGGUCUUCGGAUUGUAAAGCACUUUAAGUUGGGAGGAAGGGCAGUAAGCUAAUACCUUGCUGUUUUGACGUUACCGACAGAAUAAGCACCGGCUAACUCUGUGCCAGCAGCCGCGGUAAUACAGAGGGUGCAAGCGUUAAUCGGAAUUACUGGGCGUAAAGCGCGCGUAGGUGGUUUGUUAAGUUGGAUGUGAAAGCCCCGGGCUCAACCUGGGAACUGCAUCCAAAACUGGCAAGCUAGAGUACGGUAGAGGGUGGUGGAAUUUCCUGUGUAGCGGUGAAAUGCGUAGAUAUAGGAAGGAACACCAGUGGCGAAGGCGACCACCUGGACUGAUACUGACACUGAGGUGCGAAAGCGUGGGGAGCAAA
rnacentral:rRNA from 1 species